ACUCGUCUUUCUCCCUCAGGAAGAGAGCACCGAGCGGCCGACGCAGAGCAGGAUUUCACCCCAACCCCGCCCGCGAGACUGGGGUCCCGGGCGUCCGUUCUCCUCCGCGUACCGGUGUGGGGGAGGAGGAGGAGGGAUCGCAGAUUUGCCCAGGAGAAGAUGGGAGAUGAGCGCGGAUCCUCGCUGCAGACCUCCCGUCAAGGUUACCGCCACCUCUAGGAACCUCUUCGGAAAAGCUCCAAAAUGCCUAUUUUGCAGAAAGCCUGCUAUGGUGCGAUGGGGCCUGGUGCUCAGAGAACUCUCAAGAGGCCUCGAUGUCUUGGUGCUUGAGUCAAGCCCUGCCCAGGCCCAUUUCUCCCGCGCAUCCCAGGUCACCUUUCCCCUUUCCGAAUUCCCCGCACCAGUUCACACCAGCAACUGA
rnacentral:lncRNA from 1 species